UCAUAUGUACAUUCCUACAAUGUUAAUGCACCAGAUCCCAGUAGAUAUUUCUAGUUAAGUGCUCUUGGGAUAGAGUAGUACUAGGAUGGGUGACCUCUUGAGGAGUAUUAGUGUUUUACAUGCC
rnacentral:rRNA from 1 species